rnacentral:pre_miRNA from 1 species
GGCCUCCCUCUUUGGGGCAAUCGAUCAUGGAGCCCCUGCAUCGAUUGCCCCAUAGAGGGUGGUC